AUGCCCACCUUUGCCCUCUCAGUGCUGCGGGUACCACCAAAGCUGCUCAAAGAGAUUGACAAAUGUAGGAGGCGAUUCCUUUGGAAGCAAGAGGAGGCGAUAACAGGGGCCAGCUACAAGGUAAAUAGGCCAACAGUCUGUACUCCAACUGAGAGGGGUGGGCUCGGGAUCCUGGACCUUCAAAGUUUCAGCUGA
rnacentral:rRNA from 1 species